rnacentral:lncRNA from 1 species
ACUAGCAGCAGCGGCAGCAGCCCUAGUCCCGCGGUGCGGUCGAAUUGGUCCCCAGCCCUCCGGGAGCGCACCACAAAGCAGCCCCAACGCCUCUCCCUGCGUCCGCGGCUCCUCAGCGCUCGGCUCCGUGGUCAACUUCCCCUCGCUGGGCUCGGCUGGCGGGCGCGGAGGGCAGCGGCGGAACGGCGGGCUGUCUGCUCGCGCUCCCCGCGCACAACACUUCACCCUCUCGCCUCGGGUCUCGGGGGCCGCUCUGGGAUCCCGGCCACCAGCAAUUGUCCGGAAAUAAUGCAAAAGGUGUCCCAAGGCUCCUGACCAGUGAACAAAGAUUUGAGAAAGACAGCCAAGCUCAUGUUUUCUCCUGAUCAAGAAAAUCAUCCAUCUAAAGCACCAGUAAAAUAUGGUGAACUCAUUGUCUUAGGGUAUAAUGGGUCUCUCCCAAAUGGCGAUAGAGGAAGGAGGAAAAGUAGGUUUGCUUUGUUUAAAAGACCUAAGGCAAAUGGGGUGAAGCCCAGCACUGUGCAUAUUGCUUGUACUCCUCAGGCUGCAAAGAAAUUGCCUUUUGUUUGGAUUGGAGAAGAGACUUUGGAGACAUGGCAAUAAGCAACAAAGACCAGCAUAGCAUAUCAUAUACUUUAUCUCGGGCCCAGACUGUGGUGGUUGAAUAUACUCAUGACAGCAACACCGAUAUGUUUCAG